rnacentral:lncRNA from 1 species
CCUUCCUGUUCAUAUCUCCAAGCUUCUGGACAAUCUUGGAGUUGCUCUCAAACCUCUUUUUGUUGCUGGUUCCAACAUCAAGAAUAGCUUCCAGGUAACUAUUGAUCCAAUCAUUUCUUGCCAUCUCUCUGAUUGUUAUUGCACUGAAAACUAAAAGUUACAUAAACAUCUAUAAGCACAACAAUAGAGAAAACAGAACAAAUUCGCUUUUCGGCAUUUUUACAUACCGGGAAUUAUAAUUCAGCUAUAUAGGAUAGAAGAAGAGAGAGGCCUAGUUUUUGAUAUCAACUCAGCUUUGCCAUUUUAUAAUCUCAUACAAAAGGUCCCUCCUUUUUCUCAUUUUUAUUUCCUGAUAUUUUAUUUUCAAACUUUGGUUAACUCUGGUGUGGUUCUGCUUCUCUGUAUUAUCUCUCAGACGGGCUUAUUACAACGUCAUGUUAU